AGGAAAAGGACUCGGCAGUGCUCACACUUGAAGGCCCUAAUCUGUUCUCCUUCUCCAUUGAAGACCUUGUAGAUGUCCUUCAGAGAGCCCUUAGGAGCCUUGGUAGUAUCCAAAGCUUUGACAUCCUCCUUCAUUUACCCACAAGAACAGAAAGAAAAGUUACCGAAAGCCUGAGGCAGUCCUUUGUGUAUAACUCAGGGGCUUCAACUGACAUAGUAUAAACUAUGGCCUUUACAGUCGCCCUUCGGCCGUCUUUCAAUGAGUUCUCAAUAAAUCCCUCCAGCUACUCUUAGAGUAGUAUUUUGGUGAUGUGUUAGUUCUUCAAUUUCAGAUUAAAAGGAAACCUUCUUUAAGUGUU